rnacentral:rRNA from 1 species
UACGUAGGGUGCGAGCGUUGUCCGGAAUUAUUGGGCGUAAAGAGCUUGUAGGCGGCUUGUCGCGUCUGCUGUGAAAGCCCGGGGCUUAACCCCGGGUCUGCAGUGGGUACGGGCAGGCUAGAGUAUGGUAGGGGAGACUGGAAUUCCUGGUGUAGCGGUGGAAUGCGCAGAUAUCAGGAGGAACACCGAUGGCGAAGGCAGGUCUCUGGGCCAUCACUGACGCUGAGAAGCGAAAGCGUGGGGAGCGAACAGG